AGGCAUGGAUCGUAAGGAAGCCCUGAAAAAUUUUCUGGAAGCCAAAAUAAGCAAUUUGUCGGAUAUCGAGAGUCACUGCAAUGCCUUGAACGAGAGAAAGGAGCGGAUUUUUGCGGAAAUCUCACAGUUUAAGAUGGAAUUGAAACACACAGGAC